ACCUGGUCUAGUGAAAGAUGUCCCUGCCCAUGAGGGAGGAGUUGAAACUACAUGGUCUUUAAGGUCCCUUCCAAUCCUAGCCAUUCUGUGAUUUAUGAUCAUUAGUCCAGUAAUAUAAUCUAAAAAUUGUUAAUUACUAGCAAAUUUUUAAAAUUGAAAACAUUCCCAAAAUGAUAGCAUAUCACUAUUACAUCUAUGUAAAUCUAGUGAAUGUUGCUACAAGGAAGGCUUACUGUGUUAGUUACUCUUUAGAAACAAACCAGUUUAUUAGGACAUGCUGAUAUAUUGCAUGUAGUUCUGUCUAAAUAUCUACUGAAGUGCAUCAAUCCAAAAGACUUAUCACCUCUAUGCAGAAUUUAACUUUUCAUGGUAGUGAGCCUCUCUGCUGAACACUUAUGUUGCCAGAUAACUUGGACUUAGGUGUCCCAGCAGGAGAGUUCAUGCAUUUACGGCAACUUUGCAUUUAGCCCUGUGUGUUUACACUACCCUGUUUUAUUUCUCUUAAUUUUAAAACAGUUUGGUACAGAGCCUGUGCUGAGUAACGUGUUAGGGGUUAGUUUAGGAUUUACUGGCUGGGAAGGAGGGCUGGGAGAGCAGGCCCUGUCUGAGAUGCAUGUGCCACUAAGGCCUGUGCUGAUGGGUAGUAGCCGUUUUGCCUCCUCAGCCCUGAUACAAAGAGUUUUGUCUCCACUUCAAUAUAGAUACCAAUUUCCUGGACCAGAUAUUUAAUUUUUUUUAUUAUUAUUAUUGUUACUAUUCAGAGGUGGGAAUAAGUUUAUUUUAGUGAAACAUAUUGAUGUUAAAUGCAGUGGUAUUGCAAGCUGUGGUAAGGACAAGGAACUAAAGAGCAUUCAGAACACAAAGAAUGAUUUUAUUUUUGUCAUAUUUUUAACUCAUUCUUUUACUGUUCUUCUCUUUUCUUCCUAUUUGGCCUUUUUUUUUUCUGAUGAGAUGCACUGCUUCUGAGCUACUGACACAGAAAAAUGUUGACAACACUGCGGAAAUAAUUGUACACCCUGCAGGGGUGAAACAGGUUUUACAUUGAUUAAACAACUUACAGGUUAAACUUCCUUGAGACAAAGACACUGAUACCUCCUUGCUUGUUGAGACCUCUGAAGUUACAUUUUUUGUGAAGGGGAUAUAUGCUUAAAGCAGCUUCUAAUCAUUCUGGGUUUCAACUGAAGCACUUCAACAAGGAAGAUGAAAAAUAUUCUCGUAAAAAAAUUCUAAAAUUUUAUUCCUAUUUUUGUAUCACUUAGGCUGGAAACAAGAUUCCAGCUGUCUGCGGUGUCUCUGUCCUGUUUGUUCAGUGCAGUGUAAAGAUGCUUUCUGAAAUGCAAGGCAACAGUGUGUUAGUUUUCCAUAUAUACUUUACAACAGAAAGGAAGUAGUUUUGUGUAUUUACUAAGUCCACAAAGAGCUGUCUUUUAACAACUGUUUUGUAACUGGUUAAAAUUAACUUCUUUCCAUUUUUAAAAAACACUACUUUAAAAAAAGGAAUACAAUGCUAAAGCAAAAUCCUUAAAGGAGGAUUAAUAAGAAGAUAAAAACCUUUUGAGAAAAAAAUGUGCCUCUUCUCAGUUUUGUAUCAGCUGCAAGGUGACAGUGGCAGGAUAUGACUGCUCUUGAAAUAGCUUCCUCAUGCAUUGAAGUAUAGAGUGGAAGGACUGUUAUACUCUAAAAUGCUGAGAAGCACGAAAAAGUAGACUAAACACUAAUUUUACCUUCUGUGACUACAAUGAAUCCGACUGGUAUUUAAUGCUUCAAAGUGAUUUUGGGGAAGUUGAUGAGAGACAUACUAGACUGCUCUUAUUUCUUGGCUGUGAGUGUAAAAGUAACUGUUGAGCCCUCAGUGAGGGCAGAACAAAAAGCUGUUGUUGGUUUGGUUUUAACUAACGUUGUCCUUGUGUUCCAUUCUAUCGCGAAGACUUCCUAUGCAGGGCUAGCUCCGUGUAUGGAAAUAUUGCAGUUUCUUUUUUACGUGAAGUAAUUUAGCUUUAACAGUAAUGUAAAAAAGGAAUAACAAGCAUAUUUCUCUGCUCUUACUCUCCUUAGGCUCCAAAUGCAGAAUACAUUAAAAAUAUGUUUUGGAGAACACCUGUGUGAGUCUAUAUAUCUGUUUCCUCUAGGGUACUGCAGUACUGGUUGGUAAACUGCUUUUUCUGUUGAGUAUGAGUAGCUAAAUGUGACUGCUGCAGCUUUAGACUUUGAUCUUCAUGUCAUUAAGAAUUGUAUCUUAAACAAAAUGUCAUGUUUCAUGCUCUUUCUUUCUGUGAAAUGGUGGUCCAGUCAAGCCUUUGAAUUUUGGUAGUGGGUAAUAAUAAAGAAAAGGCUUAAACUGGAUGAUAUAGUAGAGAUUAUUUUCCCAGUUUCUAGAAGAAAGCAGUUAGUCAUACUAUUAACUCUGUGGAAACAGUACUUUUAGCAUAAAGUAGAAGAAGAAGUAAGCAACAGGCACUUUAUCAAAAUGGUUGUACAAAUUAAUUUUCUUCUUGAAGUAUCUCCCCUGUUGCAUGAACAAUUCAAAAAAUAGACUAAUAAAAUACUUCAAGGGUGAAAGAAGUAUAGGAUCCUUAUUAAAGGCAGCUAGGGAAUUGAACACUUUGAAGAACAUUAUCAUUAUAAGUUCAAAAUAUCUUUAGAGUUAAGCACAGUAGUAACAGUCUAUCCGAUAAGGCAGUGCACAUUUCAGAAAGCUGAAAUUUUAGAUUAGGCCUAAUCAGUAACAACAUGAGGUUCUGGAAGAGGAAAACUGAUCCGAGCUUUCACAGUAAGAUAAUUGUCACACAGAUGGCUUUAAUGAUUUGAAUGUAUUCUCUUAAUUAGGAAAGGGAAGAACUGGAAAGGAUCAUUUGCAUCGUUAUUCAUCCCUCUGCAGUUGCAGAUGCUGAAAGAUGUCUGCUGUUACCUAAGCUGUGUAACUAUGCAAAAAUGCUUCUUGGCAGUAGCAAAUGCUGGCUGUCAGUUGAAGACCCAAACUCACCAUACCAAGUCAUGCAGGACUAGGGCAAAAGAGACGAAGUGUGUGGUAUAUUACUCUGGCAAAGGCAAUCCAUUUGUUUGUUUCCCACAUAAUAUCCAGAGGGCCAAAUGCCAUCCACAGUGAACAGCAGAAAGCCCUUCCCCUUCGCGCUAAAUCAAAGUCUUACCUUGCAGUUGAUCUCUAGCAUUCAGAAAAAUUGAGGAGAGGCUAUACUCAGGAAUUAGGAACAGCAAUAUUGAAUUAUGCAUACAGGAGAAAAAAAUAAUUGCUUUCUGGUCCCUGUAAGUGCUUGUUGAAAGCCAGUAAGUGUGAGGCAAUGUAGAUGAUGAAUAUGGCAACCAUGUCUCCCAUCAGAUCAUAAGACAUGUGGGUUCCUAUCUGAAGUUCAAAGCAUUGCUUCUUCUCCUGAAAAUUUAUUGAGUCAUAAGUUCCUUGCCAGAAUUUCUCUUUAGAAGGCAUUUGGGACUCCAAUCCGUCAAUGAUUAGGAACCUAAUUCCCAAUUCACAGCUUUGUUUAUCUUCUCAUAGUUUUAGCACUUGUCUGUCCUUCAGCCGGUUCCUUUUCUCAGCCUUCAUGUGGUUAGGCUACACCAACCAGCCAACCCCCCCCUAAGAUGUAAGGAUGAGCAAAAAGCAGAAUAAUCCAGAGGUGGUUAUUGCCUAUCCAGGAUAACAUCCCAUAAUCUAUGCUUUGAGCUGGAAAAUGAAAAUGUAGUUGAUUGCUAAGAUGGAUCUACCACAUCAUUAACUGCUGGAAAAUGAAUUAGCUGUGCUGUAUGUAUUGCUGAUGCUUCCUCCUGACAGCAUUACGGACCUUAGUACAAAAUGCUGUUCACGUGUUGUAAAGAAAUAUUUACUCCAUUAUACAAAUGCAGAAACUAAGACACAGACUCUUAAAAUGAUCACAGGAAGUUUGGGCUGUGGCAAGGAACAGGGUUCUUUAAUUUUAAGACUCUUUGCUCCAGGUAUGGUUUGACAUGGUGAUUUCAUACAUGAAGAGUCUGCUAUGAAACAAAACAAAACCACCAAGAAUUUCUUAGAGAAAUCAGGCUAGUGUUAUUGCACAGUCUUAAUGUAUGUGUCUAUCCAUCUUCUCAGUAAUUUCUGAACAUGUUGGGCCAGUUUAAUAAACUCAACAGAAAUAGAGCA